GGAAGACUGGAGGGAUCUGUGUGAGAGAAACACGCUUCCGGAUACAAGAAAAAAACACAACUGAUGACUGUCAUUUUCAGACUAUUAGUUUACUAAUCCCGCAGAAGACCUCAGCACUCUGUGUCCUGGCUUUGUCUUGUCUGUUACACACUAACGCACAAUGCAGAGCCUACAUAGCAGGAACAAGCCUUGAAUUGGAUCUAUAAUAGCGUGUUUCAGCUCAUUUGGAUUGCAGACAGAACUCCAGAUAUCAGAACAAUGCAGAUCCCUCUUAUUAAACCACUACCUACAGGGUCUUGUCACCUGCAAUCUCCUAUUAUCUGCUUAUCGGGAAGGAGCGAUGCUUGACUUGUUGUGUGGGAGCGCCCGCUUAGCAACCAGACAAUUAGUAAAUCACCAGCGUGAUGCCCACUCUACCACAUUGAGACAUCCUGGCAUUCUAUUAAUGCACAGCCUUCUGUACUAAGCUUAUUUCAUACGGUGUAAUGAAACAGUACAGUAUAUGAAAAAAUGAAAUAAAAAUAAGACGCCACCACCUAUUAUCCUUAUCGCUUAUUUAUAAAGCGCCAACAUAUUACGGGGUCAAUUCCAUUGGACACGAGGAGUGCAGCAACGGCACCCCAUCUUGUCCCCCUCGUGUCUC